UACCAGCACCCCGAGUGGUCGGGACGAUUAUUGGGCCUAAAGCAUCCGUAGCCGGUUCUACAAGUCUUCCGUUAAAUCCACCUGCUUAACAGAUGGGCUGCGGAGGAUACUAUUGGAGCUAGGAGGCGGGAGAGGCAAGCGGUACUUAGUGGGUAGGGGUAAAAUCCGUUGAUCCAUUGAAGACCACCAGUGGCGAAGGCGGCUUGCCAGAACGCACUCGACGGUGAGGGAUGAAAGCUGGGGGAGCAAACCGG
rnacentral:rRNA from 1 species